UGUGUCUUUCCUGAAAUUAGAGAGCAAUGCGCUCAAGUAAAUGGUUAGUGAAGCUGCAGCUCCCAGAUCUCCCAGGUAGAGAUCUCCCACCCAAAGAUCUCCCUCAAUCGCCACAGCAAUCUCCAUGGGAACAAGUGCCAGCAGUAGAUCCAGAGCUUAAUGGGAUGCCUUUCUACAGUCUCGCCACUGUUGCUCCUGGCAUGGAAGAUCUCUACCGCUGCUUUAGGGAAAGGGCAUAGCCCUAAAGGAGAGCGAGUAAAUGGCCAGUGAAGUUGAGGCUCCCAAUCCCCGCAAGAACAGGCACCAGCAGCAGAUCUGGAGCUGCAGGCUCUAGAUCCACCAUAGGAUGCGAGCCCCCAGCGCCUCCACUAGUGACGACAGAGCAAUUAUAUAUGGGCAUGAAACUUACAUUUCAAACAUGAGGUUGACAGUUACCAUUAAACACGUUUAUAAAUCUUUUGACUAAGAACAAAUAUAGUUUAUUAGGUUUUGAAUUU